GUAGCUUAAGCCUUAAAGCAUCUAGCUUACGCCUAGAAGAUAUCAUACAAACUGACCACUUUGA
rnacentral:tRNA from 1 species